CUCUUAGUGUCGUCACAAACUCGUGACGUCCCCGCGUGACCUCACCGCUGCGGGGCGAUGGAGCGAAAAGUGAGGAAACUGAAGUCCCGGGAGAGACAGUGGCAAGGUCAAGUAGCAAAGUGCACUCAGCCCUCCCAGCAAGGAGUCUGCCACUCGCGCUUGAAGGACGUGUUUGAAGAGCUGCUUUCCCAGUGGGAUGCUGCCUUAAAGUCUUGAUUCCCUGGCACUCUUUCCUAUUACUACAUUUUAUCGGUGCUGUUUGUGUUAUGCAACGGUAGCAUCGUGUCUCCGGAAGAUAAAAAAGGUCUCGAUACAAACAUCCAUAACCUUCCACCCACUCCGUCAGGAACAACCCAAUCAAAAUAAAGUCAUGAGAAUUUAG
rnacentral:lncRNA from 1 species